CCUACGGGGGGCAGCAGUCGAGAAUCAUUCACAAUGGGGGAAACCCUGAUGGUGCGACGCCGCGUGGGGGAAUGAAGGUCUUCGGAUUGUAAACCCCUGUCAUGUGGGAGCAAAUUAAAAAGAUAGUACCACAAGAGGAAGAGACGGCUAACUCUGUGCCAGCAGCCGCGGUAAUACAGAGGUCUCAAGCGUUGUUCGGAAUCACUGGGCGUAAAGCGUGCGUAGGCUGUUUCGUAAGUCGUGUGUGAAAGGCGCGGGCUCAACCCGCGGACGGCACAUGAUACUGCGAGACUAGAGUAAUGGAGGGGGAACCGGAAUUCUCGGUGUAGCAGUGAAAUGCGUAGAUAUCGAGAGGAACACUCGUGGCGAAGGCGGGUUCCUGGACAUUAACUGACGCUGAGGCACGAAGGCCAGGGGAGCGAAAGGGAUUA
rnacentral:rRNA from 1 species